rnacentral:lncRNA from 1 species
UGUGUUUUCACAUUAGGUUUGGAUCAGAUGAUUUGAGGAACUGUCACAGAUGAUUCAAGCAAGUUUCAUGGUUGUUGUAGCUUUAUUAUCGAAGCAGGUGCAGUGGCGAUGGAGCUCUAUGUAUUUUUCGGUGAGUUCGCCACUAAGCGGUGAGAUGAGGAGUUGAAGAAGAAAAUGAAAGAGGGUCAGCUAUGGGUGCUUUCCAGCAUAAGGGUGCAGAAGUUCAGUCUUCACAAAG